rnacentral:rRNA from 1 species
UACGUAGGGUGCGAGCGUUAAUCGGAAUUACUGGGCGUAAAGCGUGCGCAGGCGGUGAUGUAAGUCAGAUGUGAAAUCCCCGAGCUCAACCUGGGAACUGCAUUUGUGACUGCAUCGCUGGAGUGCGGCAGAGGGGGAUGGAAUUCCGCGUGUAGCAGUGAAAUGCGUAGAUAUGCGGAGGAACACCGAUGGCGAAGGCAAUCCCCUGGGCCUGCACUGACGCUCAUGCACGAAAGCGUGGGGAGCAAACAGG